ACGGGAGGCAGCAGUGGGGGAUAUUGCACAAUGGGGGAAACCCUGAUGCAGCAACGCCGCGUGAAGGAAGAAGGUCUUCGGAUUGUAAACUUCUGUUUUUAGUGAAGAAACAAAUGACGGUAGCUAAAGAGGAAGCCACGGCUAACUACGUGCCAGCAGCCGCGGUAAUACGUAGGUGGCAAGCGUUGUCCGGAUUUACUGGGUGUAAAGGGUGCGCAGGCGGGACUGCAAGUUGGAUGUGAAAUACCGGAGCUUAACUCCGGGGCUGCAUCCAAAACUGUAGUUCUUGAGUGGAGUAGAGGUAAGCGGAAUUCCGAGUGUAGCGGUGAAAUGCGUAGAUAUUCGGAGGAACACCAGUGGCGAAGGCGGCUUACUGGGCUCUAACUGACGCUGAGGCACGAAAGCAUGGGUAGCAAACAGGAUUAGAUACCCUGGUA
rnacentral:rRNA from 1 species